GGAAGUAAUCGUAACAAGGUUUCCGUAGGUGAACCUGCGGAAGGAUCAUUCAUAAUAAAGUGUUUUAUGGCACUUUUUAAAAAUCCAUAUCCACCUUGUGUGCAAUGUUAGAUCUCGUCAAUCUUGGCGAGAUUUUUAUACAUCAACUCAUUCUUUAACUAAUUUGUCUGAAAAAUAUUAUGAAUACUUAAUUCAAAAUACAACUUUCAACAACGGAUCUCUUGGCUCUC
rnacentral:misc_RNA from 1 species